rnacentral:ncRNA from 1 species
UACCUGGUUGAUCCUGCCAGUAGUCAUAUGCUUGUCUCAAAGAUUAAGCCAUGCAAGUCUAAGUACGAGCUCUCGUACAGUGAAACUGCGAAUGGCUCAUUAAAUCAGUUAUGGUUCAUUUGAUCGUACAGUUUACUUGGAUAACUGUGGUAAUUCUAGAGCUAAUACAUGCGAGAAGCGCCGACCUCGCGGGAGGCGUGCAUUUAUCAGACCAAAAACCGGCCGCGUCUUCGGGCGCGUUCGCCUUGGUGACUCUGGAUAACUUUGCGGAUCGCACGGUCUAGCCACCGGCGACGGAUCAUUCAAGUGUCUGCCCUAUCAACUUUCGUCGGUACGGUAUUUGCCUACCGAGGUUCUUACGGGUGACGGGGAAUCAGGGUUCGAUUCCGGAGAGGGAGCCUGAGAAACGGCUACCACAUCCAAGGAAGGCAGCAGGCGCGCAAAUUACCCAUUCCCGACGCGGGGAGGUAGUGACGAAAAAUAACAAUGCAGGACUCGUUCGAGGCCCUGUAAUUGGAAUGAGUACACUUUAAAAGCUUUAACGAGUAUCCAUUGGAGGGCAAGUCUGGUGCCAGCAGCCGCGGUAAUUCCAGCUCCAAAAGUAUAUAUUUAAGUUGUUGCGGUUAAAAAGCUCGUAGUUGGAUUUUGGGCGCAGGCGGCCGGUCCGUCGCAAGGCGUGUACUGGACGUCCUGGCCUUCCCUCCGGUUCUCCGCCGGUGCUCUUGACUGAGUGUCGGCGGCGGCCGGAACGUUUACUUUGAAAAAAUUAGAGUGUUCAAAGCAGGCUCUCGAGCCUGGAUAAUGGUGCAUGGAAUAAUGGAAUAGGACCUCGGUUCUAUUUUGUUGGUUUUCGGAGCGCGAGGUAAUGAUUAAGAGGGACAGACGGGGGCAUUCGUACUGUGCCGUUAGAGGUGAAAUUCUUGG